UGCUACGGCCACGCUACCCUGAACACGCCGGAUCCCGUCUGAUCUCGGAAGCUAAGCAGGGUCGGGUCUGGUUAGUACUUGCAUGGGAGGCCACCUAGGAAGACCAGGUUCUGUAGGCC
ensembl:rRNA 5S_rRNA 5S ribosomal RNA